ACAAGGGGAUGAGAAACAAAUUCUUAAAAGAAAAGAGAAACACAUUCUCAAUUUUAUUAACUCAAAUCAAUUGUCAACCAUAGGAAAAGUCUCUACCAAAAUAUGUAGAGAACCUAGACCUAUAUAUAGAGCAUUUGCAAUACGUUUAACAUUAGGAUUAGGAACCCUAAAUCCAACACUAAUUAGGAAUCACAAAUCACACAAAUUCUUAAAUAAAAUAAAAUUUUACUUCCUAUAUUUUUUCCUAAAUUAGAUAGUCCAAAAAUCCCUAGUAUUUCCUACAUCACUUUUGCCAUCUCGUUUCUCAUGAUUUUCAUUCCCCAACAAGUUAAUAUAUUGUGAAUCAACUUUGAUGAACAGUUCAUGUGUUUUGUGGCAAUUUUGUUAGCCUAGUCCUUUCUUUUAUAUUGUUGUUUUUAUGUUUUGGAUAAUUGAUCAGUCCUGGCAGUCAACUGCUAAUGCUAUUACAUCUGGCCAUUUAUAGUUUGGUGUGUUAUAUGCAUUUUGUUUCUUAUCAUAAAUAUCAUAUUUGUUACAUUAUAUACUGGACUUUUAAGUAGGUUUUAUAUUUGAAUUGCUAAUUAACGUGCAGACCCUGCUUUCUUCCCUUUGAAUGGGGACUGAUGUUGCUGAUGUAGUGGAUACAGUGCCAUAUCUUUAUUCCUUCAAGGUAUAGUUAUGGUGUCUCAAGUCAAUAUGCUGUUCAAUUGAAUUGUCUGCAUUAUUAACAUUUGUAUGGAGUAUUUUAUGGUGCAACUUUAUUAAUAAACUUUUUUAUGUAUUGGAAUCUAGUUUAUGUACUUUCCUGAAUGAAUUGGAAUAUUUUUAGAAUAAAACAUGUGCAUUUGUUGCAGAGGUGAAACUACAUAUGCACCUAAUGUUCCAUGUGAAAUAAUUUGGAGAAUGAAGAAUGAAGUAUUUCCUGUAAAAUAUAAUUGUCCUUUAACUAACAAAGUUUAUGUUGCAG
rnacentral:misc_RNA from 1 species